rnacentral:tRNA from 1 species
GCCAGCUUAGCUCAGCGGCAGAGCAACGGUUUUGUAAACCGUGGGUCGUCGGUUCAAUCCCGACAGCUGGCUCCA